rnacentral:rRNA from 1 species
GCUAAAAAUCUAGCCCCUACCCCCCCCCCCCGUAAUUCACUUUAAUUAUGCCCACCAAUCAAAACAUUUUUACACUUUAGUAAAGGCGAUUGAAAUAUUACUAAGAGCUACACAAACAGUACCGCAAGGGAAAGAUGAAAUAAAAAUGAAAUAAAUUUUAAGCACAUAAAAGUAGAGAUUAUUUCUCGUACCUUUUGCAUCAUGGUUUAACUAGUCUAAUCAGGCAAAACGUAUUGUAGUCUGACUUCCCGAAACUAAGCGAGCUACUUCAAGGCAGCUUAUUGAGCCAACCCGUCUCUGUUGCAAUAGAGUGGGAAGACCUUAAAGUAGUGGUGAUAGACCUAACGAGCUUAGUGAUAGCUGGUUACUCAAGAAAAGGAUUUUAGUCCAACCUAAAGACCAUUUAAUGCUUUUAAAUAACAAAAUCUCUUUAGAGCAAUUCAAAUAAGGUACAGCCUAUUUGAAACAGGAUACAACCUCAUUAACAGGGUAACUAAUUACUAAACAACCAAGUAGGCCUAAAAGCAGCCACCUUUAAAAUAGCGUCAAAGCUUCAUUGUAAUUUUCAUUAAUACCAAACAUAUUUUAGAACCCUUCCUCAUUAUUGAGUACUUCUAUAUAAUUAUAGAAUUUAUUAUGUUAAAACAAGUAACAAGAAGAAGACCUUCUCUUAAAUGCAAGUAUAAAUCAAAAAGGACCAACCAAUGAUAAUCAACGUCUUUAAAUAUAAAGUAUUAACUUAUCAAGAAAAACUUACUAACUUAAACGUUAAUCUUACACAAGAGCAUUUCAAGAAAGAUUAAAAGAAAAAGAAGGAACUCGGCAAACAUUAACCUCGCCUGUUUACCAAAAACAUCGCCUCUUGACCAACUAUAAGAGGUCUAGCCUGCCCAGUGACUCUGUUCAACGGCCGCGGUAUCCUAACCGUGCGAAGGUAGCGUAAUCACUUGUUCUUUAAAUGAGGACUAGUAUGAAUGGCAUCACGAAGGUUAUACUGUCUCCUUUUUCCAAUCAGUUAAACUAAUCUCCCCGUGAAGAAGCGGGGAUAUGAAUAUAAGACGAGAAGACCCUAUGGAGCUUCAAGCUAAAUUACACUUGCUUCUAAUUUUCAUUAAGAACCUAACAAUUAUUCUAGCAUUAUGAUUUUUAGCUUUAGGUUGGGGUGACCGCGGAGCAAAACAAAACCUCCAUAUUGGACGGGAUUUAACCCCUGAGCUUUGAACUACAACUCUAUGCACCAAUAAAUUGACAUAAAUUGACCCAAUAUUUUGAUCAACGAACCAAGUUACCCUAGGGAUAACAGCGCAAUCCACUUCAAGAGCUCCUAUCGACAAGUGGGUUUACGACCUCGAUGUUGGAUCAGGGUAUCCCAGUGGUGCAGCCGCUACUAAAGGUUCGUUUGUUCAACGAUUAAAACCCU